GGUGGUGGGAACAACUCAACGAACCAGCACAUCAGCACAUCCGGGAAACUUGUCUCUGUCAGACAUCACAGGAAUAUUCAAGCUACAGUUGGGACUAACACGGAGUAGCAUUAAAGUGAAUUACUUUCAAACGUCUAAAUCAGUAGAUGUACUCAUAGUUGAUCGCACUUUCUAGUUGAUUUGAAAUCUGGAAAGUUGAUUAGGAGAAUAACACUGCUGCCGGUACUCAGCAGGAUGCAGAUGUAAAGUAAUUCGUCUUGAACCAUCUCUUGGCCCCAGAUAACCUCGCAGUGACACUGCUGUGUGCUUCUAUCCUGUUCUUUCCUUUGGCUGCCAACCUACAUGUUCUUACAUGAAGAGAGGGGAGAAACCCGAAGGAUAUCGACAGAUGCGACCCAAGACUUUCCCCGCCAGCAACUACAGUGGCAACAGCCACCAGAUGCUGCAGGAAAUUCGGGAGAGUCUCCGUAACCUUUCCCGGCCUUCUGACCUCCCUAAGGUAGACAUGGGGGGCGCUGGAAAGGUGAUGCCUGAAGAUCCCAGGCAGCAAGGGCGCUGCAGCAACCCCAAAAACCCCUACUACAAGGCCUUGCAGGAGAUUCGCAAGUCCCUGAUGCCUUUUGCCAAUGAGCCCAGCUCUUCUGGACGGACUGCAGAGGUUAACAAACAGAUGCUGCUGGAGCUGCUGUCUGCUGGCUUUGAGGAGGAAAUGGUGAUCCGUGCUCUGAAGCAGACCAACAGUCGCAGUGUGGAGGCAGCCAUAGAGUACAUUAGUAAGAUGAGCUACCAGGAUCCUGUGAGGGAGCAGAUGGUGGCUGCCGCCGCCCGCCCUGUCAAUGCAGGCAUGAAAGCCCCCGGCUCAUCUCACAUUCAGCAGCCUGUGCUGAGGAGGCAGAGCUGGAAGGGUUCCAAGGAGUCUCUGGUUCAGAGACAUGGCCCCAUGAUGGUGGAGGGGAUGAUUUACCAUUCAGACAGCCCUGGACCCCAGGGUGACCUGGCAGGACGAGGCCCACCCCCAGCCUUCCCACAGGGUCACCCUGGCAACAACCAACGGGUCAACCCUCCCCUACCCCCUCAGGUGCGCAGUGUCACCCCUCCCCCAAACAGAGGUGCAACCCCGCCCCCACCUUCCUGGGACAAUAACCUCUCCACUAAGCGCUUCUCUGGCAACAUGGAUUACCUCGUGCCCCGCAUCUCUCCUGUUCCCCAAGGGGCCUGGCCUGAAGGCUACUCAGCCCCCCAGAACCAGAGGGGCAUCAGCCCAGUGCCCAUGGGCCGUCAGCCCAUCAUCAUGCAGAGCUCUGGGGGUAACAAGUUCAGCUUCCCCUCCAGCUGGUCUCAGAACGGCUCCACUCAGCCAGACUACAUGGGUCACCAGAGUGGUGGCAGCAGACAACCCCCUCCCCCUUACCCAGUGAAUCAGAGUAACAGACAAAGCCCAACCGCUCAACAGAUGCAGGCCGGAGGACCUGCCUCCUCCCCAUCCUACAUCAAUGGGGGUAACCUCCCCCAGUCCAUGAUGGUGCCUAACCGGAACAGUCACAAUCUUGACAUGUACAACAUGGGCGUGCCUCAGUCCUGGUCCCAAGCCCCCCCUGGCCAGCCUCAGUCCUCCCCAGGUAGUAGUAACCAGGACGUGUCCCCGUCAUGGCAGCAGCACACCAUCCCUGUCCGAUCUAGCUCCUUCAACAGCCACCAGAUGAGCAACAGGCAGGGCCACCCGGCCAGCUCCCAGCCCUCUGCCACCACAGUGACAGCCAUCACCCAGGCCCCCAUCCUGCAGCCUGUGAAGAGCAUGCGUGUGCAGAAGCCUGAGCUACACACUGCCGUGGCCCCCGCACACCCACCCUGGAUGCAUCAGCCCCCUGCACCUCCCACUACCUUCCAGGAGCCGCUACCACCCAUGCCCCAGGUACCCAUGGCAGUAGCAGAGGUGCCCAGUUACCAGGGUCCUCCACCCCCAUACCCCAAACACCUCCUCCAGCAACCUGUUGCACACUGCCUUGCCUAUGACCCAGGGCCCAAGCCCAGUUCUGGGAGAGAGGAGGCUGCAGAGGAGGAGGAUUGUAGCAGCACUGCUAGUGACAGGCCAGAAGGCCCAGACUUUGCUGCUGUGGGAACAGAGAAGGAUAAUAAACAGAUCACCACAUCUCCAGUGCCUGUACGCCGGAACAAGAAAGACGAGGAACGACGAGGAGACCCCAGAGUGCCUCUCUACUCUCCCCAGGCCUUCAAGUUCUUCAUGGAGCAGCACGUUGAGAACAUCCUGAAGAACCACCAGAUGAGGAUCCAUAGGAAGAAACAGCUGGAGAGUGAGAUGCAGAGGCUGAUGUAGAAGGUAAAGGUAUCUCCUAUCAAUGCUGUGUCCUGUAUAGUCCACACAGAUCAGUGACCAAGUCAAGUUGUCAGGGGAUGCCCAGGAGCAGAUGCGCAUGAUGCUGUCUCAGAAAGAGUCCAACUACAUCCGACUGAAGCGGGCCAAGAUGGACAAGUCCAUGUUUAAGAGGAUCAAGACCCUGGGCAUCGGCGCCUUUGGAGAGGUGUGUCUAGCCCGGAAGGAGGACACUGGAGCCCUGUACGCCAUGAAGACGCUGCGCAAGAAGGACGUUCUCCUCAGGAACCAGGUGGCCCACGUCAAGGCAGAGCGAGACAUCCUGGCUGAGGCUGAUAAUGAGUGGGUGGUGCGACUCUACUACUCCUUCCAGGACAAGGACAACCUGUACUUUGUGAUGGACUACAUCCCCGGAGGAGACAUGAUGAGUCUGCUGAUCCGCCUGGGCCUCUUCAAAGAGGAGUUGGCUCAGUUCUACAUCGCUGAGCUCACUUGCGCCGUGGAGAGCGUGCACAGGAUGGGCUUCAUCCACCGUGACAUCAAGCCAGACAACAUCCUCAUAGACCGGGACGGACACAUCAAGCUCACCGACUUUGGCCUCUGCACCGGCUUCCGCUGGACACAUGACUCGAAGUACUACCAGAGUGGAGACCAUGUUCGGCAGGACAGCAUGGACUUCAGUAAGGAAUGGGAGCAGGACCCAUCUAACUGUCGAUGUGCAGACCGGCUCAAGCCCCUGGAGAGGAGGAAGGCAAGGCAACACCAACGCUGCCUGGCUCACUCCCUGGUGGGGACACCUAACUACAUCGCUCCAGAGGUGCUGCUAAGGACGGGAUACACCCAACUGUGUGAUUGGUGGAGUGUUGGUGUCAUUCUGUAUGAAAUGGUGGUUGGGCAACCUCCUUUCUUAGCAACUACACCCCUGGAAACCCAGCUCAAGGUGAUAAACUGGCAGACCACCCUGCACAUCCCCCCUCAAGCAAAGCUGAGCCCAGAGGCAUCAGACCUUAUCAUUAAACUAUGCCGUGGCCCAGAGGACCGCCUUGGCAAGAACGGUGCCGACGAGAUCAAGGUGCAGCCCUUCUUUAAGACCAUCGACUUCUCCAACGACCUGCGGCAAAUGCAACCGGCCCCCUACAUCCCCACCAUCGCUCACUGCACAGACACCUCCAACUUUGACCCGGUGGAUCCAGACAAGCUGUGGAGCAGCAACAACGAAGGUGAGGGCAACCACAACGACACCCUCAAUGGGUGGUUCAGGAACGGCAAGCACCCCGAGCACGCCUUCUACGAGUUCACUUUCCGACGCUUCUUCGAUGACAAUGGCCACCCCUACAGCUGUCCCAAGCCCAUUGGCAUAGAGUAUGAGGAGGGUUUUGAUGGGGACGAGGCAGACUCUGAGCCCCUGACACAGGAAGAGGGAGACCAGGAAGAGAGCAGCAGGGCACAGGGCCGUGAUUUGGUCUAUGUGUAGUAUCGUUUAAGAACAUGUUUGUUCUGCUGGACUGUUUCAACAUAAUAGGUCUGGGAAACGGGUUUCUGGUUUGUCAGAGAGCGAGUCAGGAUGUGUGUGUGUAUUCAGUGGCAUAUUCUGUGGGGCAGAACAAUUGUGAACAGAUAUAAUUGUACCAUUCAAGCAAAUACACGGUGCAUAAAACUACAGUAUAGUCCCUCUACACUACAGUCUACAAGAGGAGUGUUUAGUCUUUUCACACUACAAGUGUAUUCAUGGGGUUGUACAUGGUAAGGUUCAUAUGUGUUGACUCUGUUCAGACUUAAAUUAAUUGAAAGAAAAUAUCAGGGUUUUCUUUGAAAGAAUUAAAAACCCUGUUUUAAGCCUUAAUUUAUUCAAGAUAUUAUAAACUAUUAUAAACUGGUGAUGCUAGUUGAUAUAAGUAUGAGAAUUUUGGGGGGGAACUUGUUUUUAUUGGAAAUGUUCCUAAUUUAUAUUUUAAGGUCUUGCAAUGGGGAUAUACUGAUUUGCAGGGAUAAGUAACUCUUGAAUUAUUAAUUCCUGUGCCUUUGAUCUUCUGCUCUUUCACCAAAUACUGUAUAUGGGACUGCCAUUUCAAACUAGACUAGCUUGAGUUGAUUGAACUCAGAUUGUGUGUAUUUUUUGAAUUUAUACAUCAAAUGUAUUUAUAAAUGUAUAAAUAUUUUCUCUAUUCUUUUGGUUAGUUGAUAUUCAUUAGGGCAGGCCCUCUUCAUUAUUCCCCUCUAAAAUCUCUUUCCUCUGUAAUUUUUGUAAUUCCACAGUGUUUAUUUGGUUUAAUGUGGCCUUUCAGCACCAAGGAAAAUCUGAAAGGUACCUAUUGUAAUAAUACAAACAAACAAAAAAACAGUUGGAGCGGACAGGGUCUGUUAUGCUAUGUACAGUAAAUGUUAUUCUCUUUCAUCACUUCUUUCAUUCAGUCUCUCAACCAAAGCACUAGGCUACACUGUGUAUGAGCUCACUGACAUGGCUGACCUGUUAAUGAUGGACUGACGCUGUUGUAAUGGGAAACUGGAUUAUGAACAGGCACUCUUUAGUAGCUCAUGGUGGAUGGAUGGGUCUCCACUCCAUCCCAUCAUUUAGCCUGUUAUGUGUUUUGGAAAGCUAUGAAUGUAAUUAUGGAAUAGGAACACUGACAUUGCUGCACUGGUUUUAAUUACAUAAUUCGAUUUUAGUGUAAAUGUAUUUUGUGGAGGUUGGGUGUAGGGAACGGGAGUGAUUAAUAAACAAUGUAAAGCACUUCCA